rnacentral:lncRNA from 1 species
UACCAUCCCCUGGGUUCUGAAUUCUCACUGGUAGUUUUUCAGCUCUACGAACUUCACAGGAUGACUUUCACACAGAUUGUAAAAGAAAAAAAAAAGUUAUCACCUUGCAUUCAACUCUUGAGGAAUGGAAAGUAGAAACUCAGUGGAUGCUGGUGCAAAAGAAUACCAUGAACUCAUAUUACUACCACAGGUACAUGGUACUGGUAAACUCAUUUAAAAUACUGGACUCUAAAAUUUAUCUCUGCUCUUUUGUCCAUGGGUAAGUAUUUUAAUAACUCCAUUACGCGGCCCAUCUUUUGAGUAUAUCAUCAGGAUGACAGAGUAAAAUGAACUCCAAAGUGCCUUUUUUCUGAAGAACCAGUUCCUUUGAUUUUUCAAAUAGGCUUUCAAAAUAUUCUCUGGGACCUUUGCAACUCACAAGCAUAUGUGAGAGUUAUUCUUCCAA